rnacentral:rRNA from 1 species
GAUGAACGCUGGCGGCGUGCCUAAUACAUGCAAGUCGAGCGAACGGACGAGAAGCUUGCUUCUCUGAUGUUAGCGGCGGACGGGUGAGUAACACGUGGAUAACCUACCUAUAAGACUGGGAUAACUUCGGGAAACCGUAGCUAAUACCGGAUAAUAUUUUGAACCGCAUGGUUCAAAAGUGAAAGACGGUCUUGCUGUCACUUAUAGAUGGAUCCGCGCUGCAUUAGCUAGUUGGUAAGGUAACGGCUUACCAAGGCAACGAUGCAUAGCCGACCUGAGAGGGUGAUCGGCCACACUGGAGCUGAGACACGGUCCAGACUCCUACGGGAGGCAGCAGUAGGGAAUCUUCCGCAAUGGGCGAAAGCCUGACGGAGCAACGCCGCGUGAGUGAUGAAGGUCUUCGGAUCGUAAAACUCUGUUAUUAGGGAAGAAUAUAUGUGUAAGUAACUGUGCACAUCUUGACGGUACCUAAUCAGAAAGCCACGGCUAACUACGUG